GACGAACGCUGGCGGCGUGCUUAACACAUGCAAGUCGUACGGUAAGGCCCUUUCGGGGGUACACGAGUGGCGAACGGGUGAGUAACACGUGAGUAACCUGCCCACAACUUUGGGAUAACGCUAGGAAACUGGUACUAAUACUGGAUAUGUGCUCCUGCUGCAUGGUGGGGGUUGGAAAGCUCCGGCGGUUGUGGAUGGACUCGCGGCCUAUCAGCUUGUUGGUGGGGUAGUGGCCUACCAAGGCGGCGACGGGUAGCCGGCCUGAGAGGGUGACCGGCCACAGUGGGACUGAGAUACGGCCCAGACUCCUACGGGAGGCAGCAGUGGGGAAUAUUGCACAAUGGGCGCAAGCCUGAUGCAGCAACGCCGCGGGCGGGAUGACGGCCUUCGGGUUGUAAACCGCGUUCAGCAGGGACGAAGCUUUUUGUGACGGUACCUGCAGAAGAAGCACCGGCUAACUACGUG
rnacentral:rRNA from 1 species